CACACACACACACACACACACACAGCUCCAAGUCAUCUGAGAGAGAGCUUCUGGAACUGGCCAAGAGAAUUUUAGCUUGACCCAAGGAAAUGAAGCAAAGACUACAUGUCCAUGGAUUCUGUCACAUGAUAAACAGCUCCCCUCCUCUCCUCUCCCCUGCAUGCCCCAUGCCUAUCUUCCAGAGUAUCAUGGAUGCUGUCCACACUAGAGAACUCUUGGAGACAGCAUCUUCAGCUCAGUAGAGUAAAACCCCAAAUGCAAAGGUUUGUUUCCAUUCCAGACUGCAGAGCCCACAUAUUGCCUUUCGAUCCAUCGUGCCCUGGUACCUGCUUGGCUUGGAGCUGUAGCCCCUGAAUUACUGCAACAGUCUCCUGUCUUCUGGGUGUCAGGGGAGUGUGCCAAGAAAGGGGACCCCAGCUUAGCCAAUUCAGGGAUGCAUCGUCCAAAGUAGAUUCAUGAACAAUUCUUUUUUUUUUUUUUUUUUUUUUUUUGGUUUUUAAGAGACAGGGUUUGUCUGUAUAGCCCUGGCUGUCCUGGAACUCACUUUGUAGACCAGGCUGGCCUCGAACUCAGAAAUCUGCCUGCCUCUGCCUCCCAAGUGCUGGGAUUAAAGGCGUGUGCCACCACGCCCGGCUUUCAUGAACAAUUCUAAAACCAACCCUAAGUCAGAUUGCUAUUUUCACCAGCAUUGGUGGUAAAAUGCAUCCCCUGACCCAUGGACCAUGAAACCACCUCUCUGCAAAGCUGGCCAUACACAACUACCACCUCCACAGGCAGCUAGCCUUUCUCAUUGCUGUCUUACUUCAGCCGGAGGCUUCACUCCCAGAGAGAAGCUCGCCUGAACCAGAAGCUAAAAGUCCACAGCUGCUGUUUUAAUGCCCUUAGCUUGGAUGUGUGAGUUACUCAGCAUAAGCUAACAGAUGCACUGUCAGUGUGGGAGCUGCCUUUCCUGGAGAGUUAUCAUUGCAUAUGAGUUUGUUUUUUUUUUAAUGUCCUCCUGUUGGUUUGCUUUUAAAAGCCAUUGUCAAGGCUUCAAGGCUGAGGAGAGAGCUCAGUCAGUAAAGUGAUUGCCUUGCAAGUACGAAGACCUGAAUUCAAUCCUCAGAACUCACGUUUAAAAAAGCAAAGCCACGCAGAAUGGUGUGGGAUUAUAACCCCAGCCCUGGAAAGACAGAGACAAGAGACAGGAGAUGGCUAGGCUCAGUGGCCUAGCUGUCUAGACUACUUGGCAAGCUCCAGCCAGUGAGAAAUCUUAUCUCAAAACACAAAAUGGACAACCUUCCUAAGGAAUGGCAUGGGGUUGUCUGCUGGCCUCCACAUGCACUCAUACACACACACACACACACACACACACACAGAGAGAGAGAGAGAGAGAGAGAGAGAGAGAGAGAGAGAGAGAGAAAGAGAGAGAGAGGGAGAGAGACAGAGAAAGACAGAGAGAGAGAGAGAGACAGAGAGAGAGCUACACAUAUACAUAUGCAUAGUCAGAAGCAGCCAACAGCUCCCCUAGGGAUGAAGGACAGAGUGACCACAAGCAACUUCACACAUGCCACUACGGGGGCAUUAUUUGAUUUUAAAGCCACACCCAUUUCAGAAUGGAGCAGUGGGACAGAGAGGACUAUGCUGCCUUGAGUGAGAAGCCUUUCUACUGCGGAGCCCAGAUUAUGUGCUAACCCCACUGAUCUGCAUUAGAACACCCCAGGAAGGCCUGUGGUGUGAGAUACAGCAAAAUAAGGGUCUCUUGUUUUAUUGGGGGGGAUGUGGUAAGGCUAGAAAUGGAAUCCAGAGGCUUACCUAGUUACAGUCUACCUCUGAACCUUAUAGUUCCCCAUUUUUAAGUUCAAAAUAGACUAAAAGGUAUAGGAAAUUACCCAAGGUCCCAAUGUCACCAAAGGGGGUUGAGGGACAGGCACAGAACUAGAUCAGCAGAUACAGGGACUUGCGCAGUCUCCACUCAGCCUCACACAGCACCUAGCUAGGGUCAUUUCUUCCAAGUCUAAGCUGGUACAUUGCCUCUUAGUCAAGAAAAAAAAAGUGUAAAUUAACCCUUUGGGCUCCAAGACCCACCUCUGCUACCUAGCAGGUGUCCCUAAGCAGCCAUGGAGCCCUGGGGCAGUCAAGCCAUCUCUCAGUUCCUCAGGUCUUCUUCUCACCGGUACACAGAAGUAGAGCAGAGCACAGAUCAGGUCCCUCCCAGCACCUGUGGCUUCGAUGAAGUCUAUCUCUCCCACAGACUGACCAGCCUGGACCUUCCACACCCACUAAUGGUCUUAGACUGACUCAAGUUCAGUGGUAACAGAACCAUUAUGGGGGUAAGUCCGGGAAUACCAACCUGCCUGCCCGGGGCUCACCCUUGUGGGUGACAGGCAGGGAGGGGCUUGCUGUGAUGUUCUCCAGGCCACUCUGACAGGUAAAGAGUUACCAAGCCAGAAAAGCUGGCUUGGUAAAGAGUUGCCAAACAGCUGCAGGAACCGCUCUGCCUGUCUGUCUGCCCCUUCCUUCCUUCCUUCGCUCAAGAAAGGAGAGUUAGCCUUUUUCCCUCCUCCUCUCCCCUCUCUCCAAAUCUUCCUACCCAGCAGAAGUCACAGCCACACAAGGGACUGUUGUGUAAGCGGAGAGAGACAGAGACAGGGCUGCAUUGCUAGCUGAGAGUGAGCUUUUCCCGAAAGCUGGAACUGGGGAGCAGAAGUCACCGAGGACACAACUGUCCUCCGUGCCAACCCACAGUGCGCAAGCCCCGGUGCAGGAAUCUGCUGACAGUGGCUUCUGCUUGGGGACAAAGCUGCAUUUCACAGGUACAGGGGAUGGUAGCCGCAGUCUUGGUCCUCUGCCCUGUGCAGCAGAGGUACUGCAAGGCCCACCUGCACUGCCAAGAAGCAAAGCUCCACCCCCUCCCUCCUCCCGAGCAUCCCAGGAUAGAGGCUGCAGGAGCCCCACGCAGAAGCCUGCAGCAGCUAGGAGCUUCUCCAGGACACUGCCUAGUCUGGGCAAGGGAAGAAAAGGUUUGGAGGAGAAAAGAGAGAGGAAGAUAGCCCUUGGUUGGAGUUGGAGAGGGAGGCGGAACCCAUAGUUGGCAGCCAGCUGGGGGUGGAGGGGUAGGGGGAAGUCAUGGUUUCUGGGUAUGCCUUGGUUCUCUGUUGGGAUUCACAUCAAACAGGGAACUCCCAGUUCCAGUGAUGCCAACCCUGUGCAGUAGCCUCACAUGAAGGACUCGGGUGAACUAUGGGGCUUUUGAAGAGGUGGGUAGUGGACACAGGGAUAAGGGACACUCUCGAGGUGGAUACAAGCUGGUGAUGGGUGGCUGUGGGGGAGACAGGACACAGUAGUGGGGCUGUUCCAGUUUAGAUGGGACUCUCCCGGAACUCUCGAGGUGCUGGAGUUUCUACAGAGUAUCAUCAGGGGAAGGGGCUUAGCCUGAGAGCUGAGAGUCCAAGGACCGUUGUCAGAACACUGGGGUUAACAUGCUGCGGGCUGCCAGGCUGCACGUCAGUGCCAUUCCCUAACUGUGCUGUGGGAGAGCAGGCAGGAGGUGGCACAGAUGCUGGCUCACAGGGAGGCUCUCUGAGGACCAGGGGUGGUGGCAAAGGCAGGAGAGGCAGUGAUGGAGGCUGUGACUGUCUCACCUUGGACCACUCUCAGGGGUAGGAGACCACCCCUUUCACAAGGGCUUGGGUUGUAGCUCAACAGCAUGUUAUGGAUCGCUGAGUUUGAGUUUCAUCACUGCCAAUAACUAUAUACCCGAUCAGGCAAGUGAAUGAAUGAGUAGCCCCGGGCAGGGUGCUGCUAAUGAAGGGUAAUGCUCUGUCAUCUUGGGCAACUGGGUCUGCCUCUUCCAGCCAAGGACAAUCAUGAUAUUGCCUACUGCACUGCUGGUUCUCACAGAUUGUUAUGGUAGUCUACAGUUUAAAAAAUUAUAUACAAGAAGUGCCAUUCAAUGUAAAGGUGUGACAUUGUCACCACCAAAAUUUCUCUGGCUGGUGGUACUGGAUUCUAGAGUCUCCUAUCAGUCUCUUGAGAAGAUUUUUAAAUCCCGUACCUAGACACCAAUUUGGGUCAAUUAUGUAAAUUCAGCUUGAUAGGCCACAAAAGGGCAGGAUGUGAGAGCCUGGUGCGUGACGAGGGUGGAGAUCUAUUUUCUGGGGUCUUCCCGAUCUUCUGAUACCUUGAUGCUACCACUGGCCUUGCCUGUGAGGGAGGCACAUGCAUCCAGCUGGCAAUAUUUCAGAUCUCUCCCAGAGCUGCUGUGUCCCGUUUCUGCCAUCUAUAGAUUCACUCAAAUUCCCAUCACAAAUACUUAAAGGUUUGGUACCUCUGUACAGAGUUAUCAUAGAUUGUUUGUUUGUUUGUUUGUUUGUUCGUUUGUUUUUUGAGACAGGGUUUCUCUGUAUAGCCUUGGCAGUCCUGGAACUCACAUUGUAGACCAGGCAAGCCUCGAACUCAGAAAUCCACCUGCCUCUGCCUCCCAAGUGCUGGGAUUAAAGGCGUGCGCCACCACUGCCAGGUUUAUCAUAGACUUUUUCUUGUCAUCAUUCUCUAAACAAUACCAAGCAAGUACCAACACAGAGCAGUACAGAAAAUUACAAGGGAUGAUUUAAAUUUGGGGAAAAAAGGGAGGAGUUGUCUGAGUAUCCAUGGAUGUUGGUAUCUGUGAAGGUCUAAAAACAAAUGCCUCUGCGAUUCCAAGAGCUGAACACAUUCAGCAAGUAAUAGAAGCAGUAGAGCUGUGUCUCAGGGAAGGUCGCCAGGUCAGAGCCUUGUCUGCUGGGGGAAGAACCUCACCUCCAAUGCCACCCACAGCUGUGUGCUCUGAAGGUGGAGUUACUCCUGUUCCCCUCCACCAGAGUGACAGACUGCCCAGGUAAAGAAUGAGGGGAGAUUAAGAGAGAAGGGAAUACAAAUGAGCUAUGGUAGCCAAGAGCAUCCCCACGCCUUCAUUUGCUGUCUGUGUGCCUCAAUUUCCCAGGUAGUUCUAGCAUUCUGUCAACAGCUUGUUUGGGGAUGCUCACAUCAUGUUCUCUCUGAUGCUCUGCUCCAUUCACACACACACACACACACACACACACACACACACACACACACCUCAUCAAACACCAAAAUGGGAAAAUGGAGAAGAUGGCAAGAGCCUAUGAACUCCUAUUGGCAACUGUGUUCCUGAGAAAUACAGAUGACGUGAUCCUACCAGGCACCCCUGAAGCUGUUCAAUUCAGUUCUUUCAUCUCACAGGGGUGACAUUAGCUUAGUAAUUGAACAAGGGAGUCCAUUGGAUGACUAUCUAGGUCAAAAUGCAACCACCUUACUUCCUAGUAUAAAGUGUGUGAACGGUGAACAACUGGGCAGAUAAGACAGGGUAUGCAAGGCACACAGCAUUUGUUUCAGAUGGGGAGAGCAGGGUCCUAGAAAAUGACUUCAUCUGCCCAACUACCUGACCCUGGAGAGCCUAAGGAGAGAGUACUAUGUGGGAGCAAGUAUCCAUAUUGAGUGUUCCAAGUCAGUGGUUUUGUCUCACUGUCACUGAGAGCUUUGAUAGGAUGAGUUGUUCUUAUUUUAUUUGUACUGUAUUUUUUAAAAGAUGUUUUAAAACAGUAUUUAAUUAUGGGUGGAUGUAUAGGUCUGCAUGUGGGUAUAUGCACAUGUGUGCAGGUGCCUGCUGAGACUAAAGGUCUCAUAUUCCCUGGAGCUGGAGUUACAGAGGCUCGUGAGUAGCCCAGUGAGGGUACUGAAAAACAAAUGUGGGUCCUCUAGAAGAGAAGCAAGUGCUUUUAACUGCUGAGCCAUCUCUCCAACCCCUCUAGUCACUCCUUGAUAAAAUAUCUUUUCUUUUUCUUUAUUUGCCCAUUUGUUUACAAUGUUUCUUGAUUCACCUGGGCUAGUCCAGAGUUCACUAUGUAGUCAAGGAUAACUUUGAACUCCUGACCCUCCUACCUCUACCUCCUAGGUGCUGAGAUUGCAGGUGCUGUGCCCACCAUAUCUAGAUUAAGAUGCCUUUUAAAUGAUAUGAUGCAUGACUUCUGCAGUGAAACAGAUGCAGGGGCAGCUGGGCUAGAUGAAAAUCUCCGCCUCGAUGUCUUGGAUGUGGGACUCUGGAGCCAUUUACUGCUUGAAUUGGAUUGCUUUUCAUAAUGAGUAGAGAUGUGACUUUUAGAGUUAGAACUCAAAAUGUUUGGUUUUGGCAACAUGUUCCAAGUAAAUCAGCAAUUUAGAAGCCUACUAUGCUGGCUACUCUUAAUCGUCAACUUGAUACACUCUGAAACCACCUUGGAAGAGAGUCUUAAUAAGAAAUUAUCUGGAUCAGAUUGUCCUGAAGGCAUGUGUAUGGAGAAUGUCUGAGGAAUUAUCUGGAUGAGAUUAGCCAGUAGACACUUCUGUAGGAGAAUUUCUUAGAAUGUCUUGGUUGUUAAUGGAUACAAAAAGACUCAGCCCAUUAUGGGCAGAACCAUUCCCUAGACAAGGGAUUCCUGAAGAGGAAAGGGCUAGCUGAGCACUAGGCAUGCAUCCAUUCAUUUCUCUCUGCUCUUGACUGGGCAAGUGAUGUGACCAGCUGUCUUAAGCAAUUGUUGCCUUGAUUUCCCUGCAAGAAUUGACUAUAACAUGGAAUUGUGAGCUAAAAUAACACUUUUCUCCACUACAUUGUUUUUGUUGAGGCAUUUUACUAUAGUACCAGAAAUGAAAUUAGGACAUCCAUACAAGUUUUCUACAUAUCAGGUCCUACCCCUGAACGCUGAAAGGGCAACAGGAGCCAAGGAUGAUGACUGAUAUAUCAAAGAGGGUUACAAUAGGGUAGAAUGGGGUCCAACCUGAAGCUUCCUGAGCAAAGUUGUGUUCUACCCUAAAGCCACUGUAUGGCACACAAUGCAAUGCCUGCCUCACAUGUGGGGCACUCUCCCAGGAAUAGAGAACCAGUUCUGACUUUAAGGAUACCAGAGUGUUGACCGAUCUUUCUCCCCGCUGCGGUGGGCGCCUUUCCAAACGCCUGAGAUGCUGCUUAGCAUCUGGCUGGUUUGCAUCCCCUGCUUCUCCUUAAUAUAGAAAAGCCUGUCCAUGCCCAACAUUUUUCCAAUCACAAUGCCAAGGUGUGUGACACAGCCAAAAAGCAAUGAGUGUUUAUUUUGCAGCAUAGAAAUAGAAAGAAUGGUCUGGGAACUCUUAAUAACUAAGAUAGACCUCAUCUAAGAAAAACAAAAAGGAAAUAAAAAAGAGAUGCAGGAAAGAUGAGAAGGAGAGGGAUAGAGGGAUGGAGGGACAGAGGGAUGGAGGGACAGAUGGAUGGAGGGACAGAGGGAUGGAGGGGAGUGAGAGGAAAGCGAGGGAGAGGAAGAAGGUGGGAAAUAGAAAAGCAGAUUUAUCACACCUAAUAGUGGAUAAAAUUAUUACGUCCUCCUCAAUCUGUCUUAUAUAACCUGCUCAACAUAUUUUUUCAAUGGUAUAUUCUGCUCUUUGUCUAUAAAGUAGGAAUCUGACACAGGGUAUAUAAGCUGUGAAAUGCAAAUCAUACUCUCUGAAGUUGUAAUUGCAGCAAGCUCAUCUCUUUUUCUCAAAGAGCACUCCAAUGACAAAUGCUUAGCAACCAUGCCUGCUGGGUGUGCGGGAAGGCAGCUGUGCCUUCAGGGAAGGUGCUAGAGCAUUCACAGAAUGUUCAAACAGAAACUUAAUCAUCUGCUCCAACCAUUUCACAUCACAGGUCAAGACCAUGGGCCAGGGGAUAAGGCUCAUGUCCAUGGCUGGUACUUUCUAGAUGAACAGCAAGUGACUUCCUGAAGGUAACACAGCAGGAAGAUCCAAGGUGACAUUUGAUUCCCAUCUGCUCUGACUAUUUCUGGAUUGAAGGAUCAGAGUAACUAAAUACCAGAAACUCUUUCAAGGUUCAGGGGAUUCAGAAAAGGAGCAAUUACCACAGCACCAACAGGCGAGAGCAGCUAGUCCUCUCUCCUUUUGCCUUAGCAUGGAAGGGAAACUAUACCAGACACCUUUAAGAGGAUUGACCAGCAGCCACAAAAUGAGCCAUGUGAAAAACUAAUGGCUAGUAUCUCCAUGGGCUCAAAUGCAAUAGAGUGACAGGGCUUCCAUUCUCCAUAAGUUUCUUGAUAGACUGCUUGGGGUACACUUUUGUAUAAGUUGCAAACAAAAUUUCCUUCAAAGACAAAAAGAGGUUGGAGACAGGGCAAUACAAACUAACUGGGAAAGGACCAGAUGAAAGAAUCAAGAAGUGUUGAAUUGCUACCGGGCUUCUCAGAUCACUUCUUUUGUGUUUAUGUGCAGUGUGGGCAUCCGUGAGGCACUGUCUCUGAAAGCAGCACCUGGAGAUGCUAUCCACACAGAAUGUCAUGGAAGAUGACAUGUUCUGCACAGCCAGACACAGUGUGACCAGCCUAUAUUCCUGCCUACCCUGCCAUCAUGUGAGACAAACAGGAGGAGACCGGUGGAGUCUGGCCUUCCUCCAGAAGCUCUUUACAGUUCCUGGGAAUAUUUCACCCCGAGAUGGCGGUGCUAAUGGUGGAGCAGGAGCCUAAGACAAGGAGCCAGCCACAGACCAAUGUAACAAUACCACACUGAAGUCCAACUUGGUGAGCCAAUGAGUUUAUUGGACAGAUCGCUUAACCAGAUGGCUUCUCAGUCCACACCUGUGAAGAGGGAGUCACCACAACCUGGUCACCAGCUGGGAUUCAGGACUGAUAUGCUGGCCGCUGACUCCAGAGAAAGAAGGGCUUCCUCUUUCUGCUGUGCACGGAAGUGCUGUAAGGGCUAAGUGUGAGUUCCCUGAGUUGACUAAUGGCAUGAAGUACAAACCUCAGUUACCCUUGUUCACGACAGAAGGCAGCUUUAACUCUCCCACCUCUGAGUUGGAGAGAGGUCUCAGUGGAUGUCUUAGUUAGGGUUUUACUGCUGUGAACAGACACCAUGACCAAG